ACCAGCACUCGAGAGUGCGAGCCGACCCAGUCCGGGCUUCAGACCUGCUGGCACUAUUGGGAAGGUUUUAGAAAUUCUUGCUUUAUGAGGAGCACUGGCAUUUUAAAUCAAAUACAGUGUCGUGUAUCUCGAUGUCAUCAAUCCUGUAUGCAAUGUUUACGGAGGCCUAGAGGCGGUGGGGUGCAUGGCCCUCUCAGCUGGUGCCAGCGGAUACCGGGGCGGGAGAGCCAGAUCCAGAUGCGCCGUGAGUGCAGCACAGCCCGGGGUUGUGACCCUCCUAUGAACAAAGAAUAUGAAAUAUCUCACUGACUUGGCUACUGGGAAGUUGAAGAGGACACUGCGUCUCCUUUCCUCCCUGUGGGACAGUGCCGCUCUCAGGGAGCCACGCUCUCUCCGUUCUGGGACGUGCACCCAUGGGUGUGAGCAUCCCAACUGGGGCCUCGCAUUCCUCCAGUGUCACCACCAAGCAUGCGCCCAGCUCUGUGAGGCUGAACUCUGGUUCCUCGGGCCUGAUUCUGCCCAGAGGACCCACCUGGACUUGCCCUCUGCAGGGAUGGCCCCGCUGGCUCUCUGGGAAACUCCCGGGUCCCGCAGAGACUUGCCAGGUGAUAAUUACAGGAUCUUACCUGAGAAUAAGAAUCCACAGGCCCGGGGGCGUGCUCAGUGACUGAGAAUCAGGGGCACCCUGCUUUCGCUUGGCAGACACGACGGCUGAGACUUGAAGAGGUUAGGGGACUCCUCUGACGUCACUCAGCCAAUGAGCGGCGCAGCCGGACCAGCACGCAGCUGGCCUGAGACCCUGUCCGCUCCGGCAAACCUGCCCACAGGGACUGCCCUCCCAGGCCUUCUCCGUGUCCGUGGGGAGAAGCCACACGGGGGGCAGGUUGGGUUGUGUAGCUACAGACUCGCCGAAGCGGCCAAGACGUCACCGGGUGUGCUCCCAGGCCUGUGGACACACCACAUCACCAAAUUUCCUGGACGCUCCGCCCGGACCUGGGCAACUGUGCCCGUGAGAAGGGACUGAGGAGGUUGUGUGUUGGCCACCUGGACCGGCAGCCACAUAGGACUGCACCAGAUCUGGGCCUCCAGGCUACCUGCCCCACUUGCUGCCUGUUUGGGCAUCGGCGAGCCACUCAACCUCGGUGGGGAGAGUCGACCCCCACUGACCUCGGUCCGUGCUGUAGGCCCGGGUUUCGUCUUCCUUCCCACGGGGCUCAGGGCAGGGCGGUACUUCCAGGCAAGGUUUUCCUGCCAAUUAA